rnacentral:rRNA from 1 species
GUCUAUGGCCAUGCCACCCCGAACGUGCCCGAUUCCAUCCGAACUCGGAAGCUCAGCAGGAUCGGGCCUGGUUAGUACUUGGAUGGGAGACCACCUAGGAAGACCAGGUGCUGUAGGUG